rnacentral:rRNA from 1 species
AGAGUUUGAUCCUGGCUCAGAUUGAACGCUCGCUGCAGGCUUAACACAUGCAAGUCGAGCGGAGAUGAGGUGCUUGCACCUUAUCUUAGCGGCGGACGGGUGAGUAAUGCUUAGGAAUCUGCCUAUUAGUGGGGGACAACAUUCCGAAAGGAAUGCUAAUACCGCAUACGUCCUACGGGAGAAAGCAGGGGAUCUUCGGACCUUGCGCUAAUAGAUGAGCCUAAGUCGGAUUAGCUAGUUGGUGGGGUAAAGGCCUACCAAGGCGACGAUCUGCAGCGGGUCUGAGAGGAUGAUCCGCCACACUGGGACUGAGACACGGCCCAGACUCCUACGGGAGGCAGCAGUGGGGAAUAUUGGACAAUGGGGGGAACCCUGAUCCAGCCAUGCCGCGUGUGUGAAGAAGGCCUUAUGGUUGUAAAGCACUUUAAGCGAGGAGGAGGCUACUGAGACUAAUACUCUUGGAUAGUGGACGUUACUCGCAGAAUAAGCACCGGCUAACUCUGUGCCAGCAGCCGCGGUAAUACAGAGGGUGCGAGCGUUAAUCGGAUUUACUGGGCGUAAAGCGUGCGUAGGCGGCUUUUUAAGUCGGAUGUGAAAUCCCCGAGCUUAACUUGGGAAUUGCAUUCGAUACUGGGAAGCUAGAGUAUGGGAGAGGAUGGUAGAAUUCCAGGUGUAGCGGUGAAAUGCGUAGAGAUCUGGAGGAAUACCGAUGGCGAAGGCAGCCAUCUGGCCUAAUACUGACGCUGAGGUACGAAAGCAUGGGGAG